AUGAACGCUAGCUACAGGCUUAACACAUGCAAGUCGAGGGGCAGCAUGGUCUUAGCUUGCUAAGGCCGAUGGCGACCGGCGCACGGGUGAGUAACACGUAUCCAACCUGCCGUCUACUCUUGGACAGCCUUCUGAAAGGAAGAUUAAUACAAGAUGGCAUCAUGAGUCCGCAUGUUCACAUGAUUAAAGGUAUUCCGGUAGACGAUGGGGAUGCGUUCCAUUAGAUAGUAGGCGGGGUAACGGCCCACCUAGUCUUCGAUGGAUAGGGGUUCUGAGAGGAAGGUCCCCCACAUUGGAACUGAGACACGGUCCAAACUCCUACGGGAGGCAGCAGUGAGGAAUAUUGGUCAAUGGGCGAGAGCCUGAACCAGCCAAGUAGCGUGAAGGAUGACUGCCCUAUGGGUUGUAAACUUCUUUUAUAAAGGAAUAAAGUCGGGUAUGGAUACCCGUUUGCAUGUACUUUAUGAAUAAGGAUCGGCUAACUCCGUGCCAGCAGCCGCGGUAAUACGGAGGAUCCGAGCGUUAUCCGGAUUUAUUGGGUUUAAAGGGAGCGUAGAUGGAUGUUUAAGUCAGUUGUGAAAGUUUGCGGCUCAACCGUAAAAUUGCAGUUGAUACUGGAUAUCUUGAGUGCAGUUGAGGCAGGCGGAAUUCGUGGUGUAGCGGUGAAAUGCUUAGAUAUCACGAAGAACUCCGAUUGCGAAGGCAGCCUGCUAAGCUGCAACUGACAUUGAGGCUCGAAAGUGUGGGUAUCAAACAGGAUUAGAUACCCUGGUAGUCCACACGGUAAACGAUGAAUACUCGCUGUUUGCGAUAUACUGCAAGCGGCCAAGCGAAAGCGUUAAGUAUUCCACCUGGGGAGUACGCCGGCAACGGUGAAACUCAAAGGAAUUGACGGGGGCCCGCACAAGCGGAGGAACAUGUGGUUUAAUUCGAUGAUACGCGAGGAACCUUACCCGGGCUUAAAUUGCAGAUGAAUUACGGUGAAAGCCGUAAGCCGCAAGGCAUCUGUGAAGGUGCUGCAUGGUUGUCGUCAGCUCGUGCCGUGAGGUGUCGGCUUAAGUGCCAUAACGAGCGCAACCCUUGUUGUCAGUUACUAACAGGUUCCGCUGAGGACUCUGACAAGACUGCCAUCGUAAGAUGUGAGGAAGGUGGGGAUGACGUCAAAUCAGCACGGCCCUUACGUCCGGGGCUACACACGUGUUACAAUGGGGGGUACAGAGGGCCGCUACCACGCGAGUGGAUGCCAAUCCCCAAAACCUCUCUCAGUUCGGACUGGAGUCUGCAACCCGACUCCACGAAGCUGGAUUCGCUAGUAAUCGCGCAUCAGCCACGGCGCGGUGAAUACGUUCCCGGGCCUUGUACACAC
rnacentral:rRNA from 1 species